CUAUCAUCGCGCUAUCUCCGCCCGGUAACACCGCCGCCGCGCCAUCCUAGCCCGCUAACACCGCCGCCAUCCGUCAUGCCUCCACAGAUUGCUUCCUCCGUGCGACUGCGCGCAUCCUUCAUCCAUUGGCGUCGCAGUGGUGCGCUCUUCCGUUGGUGCUGGUGGGGCUACUCCGUCUCCGCCGCCAGCGCAGUCACCGCCUCGGCCCUCCUCGCCUCACCUGUGCCACGGUUCCAAAACCCCAACCUCCAGGCUCCAGCCGCCCACUACACCUCCACUCCUCUCACGUCGUGCUACACCCUGCCGGCGGCCUGUAACGGCACCACAAGCCCUGUCCUCUCCGCACCCCCCGGGGGCCGAACCUCCUUGCCGUGUGCUGCCAUAUCCUCGCUGCGAGCCCUGUCUCGCAGAGAAACCUGGACGCCAUACCUCCUAGCCGUCGCCACGAACAGCUCCAUCGGAAACUCCGCACCCGCCAUAUAUGCCUUCGUCGCUUUGCCUGCAGGGCUCCGGUGCGGAGCGUGGGGCCAAAGCUGCUGCGUGAGGAUAGAGGCAGCCUGCGAUCUAAGUCACUGGUGGAAAAGGGGAGCAAAAGGCCGAAUGUUUUCUGCUGUUGUUGCUCCUUUCUUGUUUGCAUCUGAUUAGAUCCAUGAGUAAUACGCUCCUUCGUAUGCACCCUCCCCCAGCUUAAAAUACUUCAUGUACCUUGCCAAUAACAAGACUUUGAUUUUGGUUGCGUUUUAUUCAAGCUUCUCUGGCCUGAUCUUCCUUUUUUUUUUCAUUUCUUGAUGUCCUGGCUGAUGAGACGAUACCAAGAGAACCAUCUGUUGCUUCAUGCAACUGAUGAACAUGACCCAACUGAUUUUCCUUUUUCAUUUUUCUCGCUCUAAGGUGAAACUGACAGACCCAAGGAAGUACUUUGUGCAGCACGCUGCACGCCUGCCGUAUACUGCUGCAUGGAGCUCGGACAAUGUCAAAGUUAUCAUGAAGGCUUCCAAUGAGCCAAUGAUGAUUGAGAGGAGGCAAUCUUCACACUGGUCAAGGACCUUGCUACCGACUUGCAAAAUUCACCUUCUGAAAUUGUUGGCUACAGCGGUGUGAAGGUAGUCUCACUUCAAAAACAAAUCAGGCUGCUGCAUAUGUGCGAUAUAUUUGGUUUAAGUUGUAUUUUCUAACGUGCAUUGCACGAUUACUAGUGUAUAUAUAUGUGUGUGCACGCUGGCACCUGGGCUGGAAGCCCAGCCAACUCCAAACUUGAUCCACAAAGAUUAAUUAAGGAAAUACUUAGCGUUGUAAUGAUGCUGCAAAUCA